rnacentral:rRNA from 1 species
UUAAAUUGAAGAGUUUGAUCAUGGCUCAGAUUGAACGCUGGCGGCAGGCCUAACACAUGCAAGUCGAGCGGUAGCACAGAGAGCUUGCUCUCGGGUGACGAGCGGCGGACGGGUGAGUAAUGUCUGGGAAACUGCCUGAUGGAGGGGGAUAACUACUGGAAACGGUAGCUAAUACCGCAUAAUGUCGCAAGACCAAAGUGGGGGACCUUCGGGCCUCAUGCCAUCAGAUGUGCCCAGAUGGGAUUAGCUAGUAGGUGGGGUAACGGCUCACCUAGGCGACGAUCCCUAGCUGGUCUGAGAGGAUGACCAGCCACACUGGAACUGAGACACGGUCCAGACUCCUACGGGAGGCAGCAGUGGGGAAUAUUGCACAAUGGGCG